UAGUCCACGCCCUAAACGAUGAUAACUAGCCGUUGGUCCUUCGGGGCUAGUGGCGAAGCUAACGCGCUAAGUUAUCCGCCUGGGGAGUACGGCCGCAAGGUUAAAACUCAAAUGAAUUGACGGGGGCCCGCACAAGCGGUGGAGCAUGUGGUUUAAUUCGAUGCAACGCGAAGAACCUUACCUACCCUUGACAUCCUCAGAACUUGUUAGAGAUAACUUGGUGCCUUCGGGAAUUGAGUGACAGGUGCUGCAUGGCUGUCGUCAGCUCGUGUCGUGAGAUGUUGGGUUAAGUCCCGCAACGAGCGCAACCCUUGUCCCUAGUUGCCAGCACAUAAUGGUGGGAACUCUAGGGAGACUGCCGGUGACAAACCGGAGGAAGGUGGGGAUGACGUCAAGUCAUCAUGGGCCCUUAUGGGGUAGGGGCUACACACGUGCUACAAUGGUCGGUACAGAGGGUUGCCAACCCGCGAGGGGGAGCUAAUCUCAGAAAACCGAUCGUAGUCCGGAUUGGAGUCUGCAACUC
rnacentral:rRNA from 1 species